CUCAUGGUGUACCCCUCCGAUUUAAAUACCCCAGUGGUAUUACCAGAACAAGACGAUUUGUUCUAUCUGAAUCCGUUCAGGUUGGUCAUUUGUCCACUAUUUAUCAUUGUUACAUGAUAAAAUACAGGCUGUGAAUACUAUGCAGUGUUUCCAGUUUUGAAAAUGAGUGUUAAAUGCAAAGAUUUUCUUCAUGUAUCAUUUUGUAGAUAUUAUUUGACUUUGUGGGAGAAGAAGAAGAUGCCACAUAAUAUUUUCAUAUUCAAGAUGCGAUGUCGGGGACAACUCUCAACAGCAACAUGUCUGGAUCACUUCUGGAGAACAACAUCAGUGGGUCAAAAACACUUUAUGUCCACUGGAUUCAAACUGAUGAUCCUGAGUUUGUCCCAGCACUUGAUUCCACCAAUCAAGUUGAAUCUCCCAAUUUCAACAACCAGUUCACUUGGUCCCCUUUGCCAUCACCCAUGUCUUCACCUGGGCAUGACGGGUCUUUCUCUCCUGAAGGGACUGACCUUAGAACCAUUUUGAACCGACUUGGGGAGAAGAUUGAUCACACUUCAUGCCCCACCAGCAAUCAGAUCAACAUAUGCAGAGACUACACUGGCAAUGUCCACAACAUACUGAGGAGUUCCCUUCAGGCCUUCAGACGGCGGCAUUUCAAUCCAGAGGCCAGAUUGGACAUGGUUUUUGUUGACAGUGAACAAACAUCUGAAGGUGCAGUAGAUGGUGGUGGACCCACUCGAGAGUAUUUAAGGUUGCUAAUGAAGGCCAUUCAUCAGUCCAGCAUAUUUGAAGGACCUGAGACAGACAAAAGAUUGACCCUCGACACUUUUCUACAUAUAUUCCCUUUAUGUGUUGAAAUGGGAUGAUUCUGAAGUUUUUGAACACUUUUAAGUUCCGUUGCAGGUGGGGAAAACCCAGCAUUUAAUUCUGUGUGAACAUCCCACUCAUCCUUUUAAAUUAGGGUGUUUCAGGACAUAUACUCAGAAGGUGGUUUUGUUCUGGCAAAUUGUGACGAAAUGUCCUCAACACAUCCUCAUACAUAGGAGUGGCAUCUCUACGGGGAUUAAUACUGGAGUUUCUUACCUGACAACAGAAUUUAAAACGCCUAUCGUAUGAAUGGUGAAACAUUCAGCAUUGGACAUUCUAUCAUAGUAAUUCAAUAUAUUGUGUUUACAGCCUUGGAAGGAAAACUGUAUACACAGAUAGCAUGGAUGAUAUCCGUGUGUGUAAUUCAUGGAAGUGUGGCACCAAAUUUCUUCUCAGAGAGGUUGUUUAGUCAGCUUUGUGAUAAACGUACUCACCCUGCAACAUUGGAGGAAGUGAGUGAUGUCACGUUCAAGGAGAAGCUUUUGAAGAUUAAAGAAGCAACAACUGUUGGAGAUGCAAAAGCUGCAAUAGAGGAGGCAGAGGAAAGUCUUGCUAUUGUUGGGGCUUGCAGACGCAUCACAACACUGAAGCAGAGGGAUGCCCUGGUGCAAUCUGCUGUUGACUUCUUUGUUGAGGGCAGAUUAAAUGUUGCAUUACAAGAGUAAGUAUAAGUUUAAGCACACAUUAAUGGACAAGGGCCCAAAGCACGAUGGUAUCUGCUAUUGGCAAGCGUUGCCAUGUCAGUCAAUAACAGAUUUGGUUAGGGAUUUUUCUACACUCUAAAAUGAGAAACGCUUACUUUCGCACCGAUAACACAGGCCAAGUCCACUGCCGCUGCCACCAUGCUGCCACUGUGGUAGAAAUUACUGAUUAUAUUCUAUGGUCAACUGUGAUUAUUAUGAGGUCUUUUCAGGGGCGGAUCUACUGGGGUGGCAUGGGGUGGCAACUGCCACCCUAAAAAAAGCCUUGCCACCCCAGCUGCCACCCCAGUUGGCAGCGCAAAAUUCAUUUUUUUUUUUUUUUUUUUGCUUUUACAAGACAUUUACAAAAUGUCGAAUUUCAAAAG